rnacentral:rRNA from 1 species
GAUGAACGCUAGCGGCAGGCUUAACACAUGCAAGUCGAGGGGUAACAGGGAGCUUGCUCCGCUGACGACCGGCGCACGGGUGCGUAACGCGUAUAGAAUCUACCUUACACUGAGGGAUAGCCUUUGGAAACGAAGAUUAAUACCCCAUAGUAUUUUUGAAUUGCAUCAUUUAAUAAUUAAACAUUUAUGGGUAAAAGAUGGCUAUGCGUUCUAUUAGCUAGAUGGUAAGGUAACGGCUUACCAUGGCAACGAUAGAUAGGGGUCCUGAGAGGGAGAUCCCCCACACUGGUACUGAGACACGGACCAGACUCCUACGGGAGGCAGCAGUGAGGAAUAUUGGACAAUGGGGGCAACCCUGAUCCAGCCAUGCCGCGUGCCAAGAGACGGCCCCUAUGGGUUGUAACUGCUUUUAUAUAGGAAGAAACCUUUCCAUGAGUGGAAAGCUGACGGUACUAUAAGAAUAAGGACCGGCUAACUCCGUGCCAGCAGCCGCGGUAAUACGGAGGGUCCGAGCGUUAUCCGGAAUCAUUGGGUUUAAAGGGUCCGUAGGCGGACUAAUAAGUCAGGGGUGAAAUCCAACAGCUUAACUGUUGAACUGCCUUUGAUACUGUUAGUAUUGAAUUAUAUGGACGUUGGCGGAAUGUGUAGUGUAGCGGUGAAAUGCAUAGAUAUUACACAGAACACCAAUUGCGAAGGCAGGUUACUAAACUUCUACUGACACUGAUGGACGAAAGCGUGGGGAGCGAACAGGAUUGGAUACCCUGGUAGUCCACGCCGUAAACGAUGAUCACUCGCUGUCGGGGUUUUUACUUCGGUGGCUAAGCGAAAGUUAUAAGUGAUCCACCUGGGGAGUACGUUCGCAAGGAUGAAACUCAAAGGAAUUGACGGGGGCCCGCACAAGCGGUGGAGCAUGUGGUUUAAUUCGAUGAUACGCGAGGAACCUUACCAAGGCUUAAAUGUAGAGUGACAGGACUAGAGAUAGUUUUUUCUUCGGACACUUUACAAGGUGCUGCAUGGUUGUCGUCAGCUCGUGCCGUGAGGUGUUAGGUUAAGUCCUGCAACGAGCGCAACCCCUAUCAUUAGUUGCCAGCGUUUAAAGACGGGGAUUCUAAUGAGACUGCCCGCGCAAGCGGUGAGGAAGGUGGGGACGACGUCAAAUCAUCACGGCCCUUACGUCUUGGGCUACACACGUGCUACAAUGGUAGGUACAGAGGGCAGCUACCUGGCGACAGGAUGCGAAUCUCAAAACCCUAUCUCAGUUCGGAUUGGAGUCUGCAACUCGACUCUAUGAAGCUGGAAUCGCUAGUAAUCGCAUAUCAGCCAUGAUGCGGUGAAUACGUUCCCGGGCCUUGUACACACCGCCCGUCAAGCCAUGGAAGCUGGGAGUACCCGAAGUCGGUAACCGCAAGGAGCUGCCUAGGGUAAAACUGGUAACUGGGGCUAAG